GGGCGUCUUACACAUGCAAGUCGAACGCGCAGCAGUUUGUAGCAAUACAGAUUGUGGGCGCGUGGCGAACGGGUGCGUAACACGUGGAUACCUUCCUUCAGGUGGGGAAUAACCCAGUGAAAAUUGGGCUAAUACCGCAUAACAUGACGAUGGCUCAUGCUGUUGUCUUCAAAGGCGCAAGUCGCCAGAAGAGGGAUCCGCGGCCGAUUAGCUAGUUGGCGAGGUAAUGGCUCACCAAGGCAAUGAUCGGUAGCCGGACUGAGAGGUUGGCCGGCCACACUGGAACUGAGACACGGUCCAGACUCCUACGGGAGGCAGCAGUGGGGAAUCUUGCACAAUGGACGAAAGUCUGAUGCAGCAACGCCGCGUGGGGGAUGAAGCUUUUCGGAGUGUAAACCCCUUUCGACCCGGAAGAAAGCCCGCAAGGGUUUGACGGUACGGGUAUAAGAAGCCCCGGCUAACUACGUGCCAGCAGCCGCGGUAAAACGUAAGGGGCCAGCGUUGCUCGGAAUUACUGGGCGUAAAGGGUCCGUAAGCGGUGUGGCAAGUCGGUAGUGAAAUCUCUGGGCUUAACCC
rnacentral:rRNA from 1 species